rnacentral:rRNA from 1 species
UACGUAGGGUGCGAGCGUUAAUCGGAAUUACUGGGCGUAAAGUGUGCGCAGGCGGCCAUGCAAGUCGAGUGUGAAAGCCCCGGGCUUAACUUGGGAAUUGCGCUCGAAACUACGUGGCUGGAGUGUGGCAGAGGAAGGUGGAAUUCCACGUGUAGCGGUGAAAUGCGUAGAGAUGUGGAGGAACACCGAUGGCGAAGGCAGCCUUCUGGGCCAACACUGACGCUCAUGCACGAAAGCGUGGGGAGCAAACAGG